rnacentral:lncRNA from 1 species
CCCCCGCCUCCUUUUUUCCAAAAUCCAUCCAUCGAUCCCAUCGAACCUCCCUCCUCCCUUCUAGAUCGAGAGAGAGAACUCGCCUCCUCCUUUCCAGAUCGCCGCCGCCACCUCCCUCCACAAGGUACAGCCACUUGACCUCGUGGGGCCCAUCGUCUAGCAGCCCGAGUACAACCUCUUCUCCCGCCACAAGGUACUGCCGCUGCUGCCUCGAUUAUUACUUCAGUUAAUCCUACAUUCUGCUGCUGCUACUGCUAAUCUCGAUUUGAUCCUUAAUUGAUCCAUUGUUGAGCGGUACUGUGGUACUACUGGAGUAUCAGCAAUGAUGCGUUGGGUGUGUUGCUAAUCUUGAUUUGAUGUCUAAUUAGUGAAUCAGUGGUACUUUACUAAUAUACUGUAUUAGCAAUGAUAUCUUGGAUGUGUGGAUUGAUGUGUACAACUGUUGCUGCUGUAGAUCAUUUAUUGUAGGAGUACAACUGUUGCUACUGUCAUCUCAUUUUGGUUGCCUCAAAGUAUUCAAAACUACAGUUUUUCAAAAACUAUGGUAUUCUAGUAAUACUUUGAAAAUACUUUGCAUCCAAACGGGGCCUGCAAUUAGCACAUAGUUGCGUUGUAUAGUUGCUUAUAUAAUCAGAUGUUGUAUGUAGUCACGUACGCUUUCCAAUUUUGAUCCAAUGCUUGCUUCCUAGCUCACGUGUGUCAUUUUUUCAGAUAGUUGCGACUCCUUUAUAAUUGACAUGCUUAUUGUUUCUCAAUGAAGAGAGUACAAGCAGACGGGCGGUCUGAACUGAUGCCAUGUUGAUAUGUCUGCUUCAUCUGUGCUUACCCUUGUGGAUAGCAUCUGAGAGAAAACAAGAUCUUUCAUUUUCAGCAAUAGGUGUUUGUUCUCUAAUUCUCAUAUUUGUGCCAUAGUUUGUAUUCUUCCUAGUAGUUAGAUGGGGUUAAAUUUUUAACUUGACUCCAAGAUCCAAUCCAAUGGGGUCAUAGUGGGCAUGGGUAGGGCGAUGGUUUACUUAUUAACCCUUUGAAGUGUUUGCCAUUGCCCUGGAGUCAAAUGGUCUGACCGAGAUUCUCAGUUUUGGACAAUCUUCAAAUUCUUUUGACUCUUCCUACUUGUAUAUCCUUACACAAUCAAUAAAAAAUUCCAAGUGAACAAAUGAAUCUCUGCUUAUUAUCUGAUGAUACCUUUUAUUAAUGUUGUCCAUUUGUCUCUGCUAUUUCCAUCGCAAAUUUCUUGUGCGGCAUCGGGUGGCAAAUGAGGUGAAAUAUUGUGUGUUAAACACUGAAUCUUUGAUGUGUUUACAAAACUCCGCUUAUUAUCUGAUGCCACAUCAGCUUCGAUCCACAUUUUCAAGUUCUCUUUUCUGCACAGUUUCUUUAUCAUUCCUGUGAAUUUCAUGUCGUUGAUGGCAGUGAUUUGAUUCUAUCCGCACUUCUGAUUAAUCCAUGAAGUACAAGGGAAAACAUGGUUGAAUUUCUUAAUAUGAGCCAUACAAUAGUAAAAUCUUGUUCUCUUGUAGAUUUUGUGUUCUUGUUUUACCGUGGCUGUGAUGAUUAACAGCUUCAGCAAACAUGCCAGUUCUGCUUCUGAGAAUUCAUGACUGAAAAAUCUGUUAGACAAGAUCUGAGCCAUUUUGCACUUAGAAAAGUUUUGUUCUCCCAUUGUUGAUACGUGAAUAUUAAUGAUUAUUACGUUACAUACAUUCUAUAUCUCGGUUUCUAGCAUGUAAUUUGUUCUGAGACACCAUCUGAAUUGCCAAUGAUACUACACCCAACAUUUGGAGGUGCAGAUGGCUCCAGGAUCCUGUUUACAGGAUGAACCUACCUGGAGGCGCUGUAUCCACAUGACAUUCAUGGGCAAGUUCUGAGGUUCUUCAUGAUCACCUCAAACUUUUCUUGAUUUUUUCAAGUUGACUUCUGCUUUUUUACUUGGUAAAUUAAGUGGCUGUUUAUUUAUCUUUGCCGAGUUUAACUAUCCUCUCACAAGUACCUCUGAUUUGCGGAAGAGGCUGAAAAACUCGCAGAUUGUGUGUUGUCAUCAGCUUCGUCUCUUGGUCCUACGAGAUGGGAGUUAAAUAACGACACCAGAUUAACUCUUAUGCAUUCCUGCCUGAAUCAACUAUUUAGCAUAAUCAAUGGAAAGUUAUCUUAAGUAACAAACUCAUGUUUGACAGAACUGAUGGAAUAAAAACCUGAAAACAUAAAUAAAAAUCUCAAGAAAUUUUAAAAGUUGGGUGUACUAUUGCCAUGUCGAGUAGCUUUGUUUGUGGUAACUAGCUUGAGCAGCAUAUUAUGGAAGAACAAAAAUUAUUACUGGAGAUAAUAGCUUGAAUUAGUUUUAGCUUCAACCCAUUGUAUUCUUUAUUUCUUUUGAUUUGUGGCUUGUGGUUAAAACUAGUUCACUGUUAGUUUCAUUUGUGAUGGCCAAUAGGCCAAUAGAUGUGAGAUCCAAGGGAGUUGUUUUUGCUCUAUGAUUUGGCUCUUCUGUUAUAUUUUGAUGAUAUAGUCACUGGAAUGCGGUUGGCCAUUGGUAUGUCAGACCUUCUGUUGUCUAGGGAGGUUUUCCUUCUCCACGUAAUGACAUUUUCAGAUUAGAAUAUUAGUUUGCUUUUGUAUUUUCCUCUUGAUUUUGUUUCAUAAGACUUGUCAACACAAGGUUUGCCUUUGAGAGAACCUAGUGGAUUUUCUCUUCCAUACCGGUUCCGUUGCGGGCGUACACUGAUUUAGAGCCUCCAUCGUGUCUCACUCUCCACAUCUGUUGCUGGGUGUCAGAUUGGUUCUUGAACAUUUUGAAUCUAAUCUUUGUUUUUUGUUGUAUGGCUGCUGUUUUUCAUUUUUGUCCGUGGCCUUCAUAAUCUCGCAUGUUCAUAAUAUAUUGCUGGAAUUGAGCUUAAUAUUCAUGUGUGUAUGUGUGUGUGUGUGUCGAGUAAAGUUUUGGUUUGUGCUGCUCCUUUGUAACGUGAUGAAACAAAGAAUGUCCUUUACUCCUUUUUUGAAUGGAAUAUCCAUAAUACAUUGGCUCUAGUUUUUCUAAUUUUUAUCAGCUGAUUCAUGUAACAGGGCGUCCGUGGAAGGCCAAGUCCUGACUAUGGCCCUCGAGUGAGUCCGGCAUUUGCUCGCUAUUGAAGGAGCUACAUGUAGAAGAAGAAAACACUUGUAGAGCUUGUAACUGAUUCCCAUAGAUGUAGAGCUUGUAUCAACUAAGCUUUUAUUACGUGUAACUUGUAGAACUUGUAAAUGCUACAGCUUGUAGGACGUGUCAUUUGUAGAGCUUGUAAAUAAGCUUUUAUAUGCUAUAGCUUGUAGGACGUGUCAUUUGUAGAGAUUGUGUUGAAUCUGGCUGUUGUUAUUUGAAGUAUCAUGUGUGUGUUUUGCUUGCCAAUUUAACUACUGGUUAUUUUCUUAUUGUCAAAUUGAAAUAUGAAGAAUCUGGGCCUAAUAGCUAGGACCCACUUAUAAGAACCUGACAAGUGGGACCUGUUUGACUAGCGGACCCAUUAUAUAUAUAUAUAAAAAAAACUGUUGGUACAAAAAGGCCAUGACCCAUGAAAUAAAAAGGCCGAAAUGUUGGGCUUGGCCCAUGAAGUCUGACAAAAAAUUGUCAGGAAAAAAAUAUAUAGAAAGGCUGAAUUAAUGGGCUUGACCCAUAUAAACACCCAAUUGGACCGGGCUGAUUCUAAUUUUUGACCUUUUCAAUUGGUCACAAUUUUGCCACGUCAGAUUGCCACGUCGGAUCCGACGUGGCCUGGGCAGACAACUAGUGACCAAAACAAAAGGUGAUGGGUUCAACGACCUUCUGUUUUGGUCGUAAACGUCUACGACCUUCUCACAGAGAAGGUCGUUAAUUUUAGUUUAUGACUGCCAGCUUUUGACCUUCUGUUUUUGGUCACAAAAAGGUCGCAAAUGAAAAACAAUGAUCUUUCUGUGACCAAUAGUGAAGGUCACAAGUUGACAUAUUUCUUGUAGUGCUUUGGCGCUUGUUGCGGAGCAUGUCAUUCUCGUCCAUAAGUUUCUUGACGAUGACGCCGGUCCUCUUCAACAAGGCACUGGUCUCCUCCUGCUGGUCUGCACUUCGGACGAUCUUCUCCCUCAGCAAGUCGUGCUCGGCCCGGAGCCUCUCAUUGCCCUACCUUAGUUGUCGGAUGACGCCGGUAGCCUGUUCAAACGAGGCUUUCAUGUCGUCCUGCAACUUCGCUAAGCCGGAGAUCUGAUCCAUCUGUCUAUGGACGAUCGCAUGCAUGCGCCUGUAACAGUCGUCGCCUGCCCGCGAGAAAUUUUCCCAGGCCGCCGCGGCGCGGCGGGACAUCUCUGAUGCAUUCAUGGCACGCCGGGCAUCUCUGCUGCUUCCGCGGCGCGGCCGAACCAGUCUGCUGCAUCGACGGCGUGGUGGGACCUCCGUGCUGCUUCAGCGGCGCGGCGGGACCUCUGUGCUGCUACUUCCGCGUGGCGGGACAUGUCGGCUGCUCUCGCAGCGAGGCGGGACAUCUCUCGUGCUUUUGCUUCCAUGCUCGCCUCUCCCUGGUGGCAAUCUCUCGACCCAGAACUCACGCUGGCCAUGGCAGGCGCAAGGGAAGGAUGCUGAAUGACUUGUUUGUUUUUGUGGAUGAGGAGUUGAGGAGGAAUGUGCAGUCAUCUUGGCAUACUCGUAUUUAUAACCGAGUACUAAUACGCUCCUAAGUGGGAAACCGUUUAGGUUGUGAUCGGUGUGAAUAGGUUUGGAAUUCAAUAUACUAGCGUGGUACUAAUACGUUCCUAAGUGGGAAACCGUUUAGGUUGUGAUCGGUGUGAACAGAUUUGCAAUUCAAUAUAGCGUGGAGUAAUUUGGAAUGUGACGAGACGCAUGCUCAAAAUUUAUUGACGGUUCUAGUUUUGAAGUGCAACACUAUUCCCAGAUGGAGUACUUCUUUUUCUACUCCCUCCUUUCCGGUUUUAUAGGGCUUAUCUCAAAAUUUUUGUUUUUCCAUUUUAUAAGGCUCAAUUUGGUUGUUCCCCAACACAUGUUCAGAUUCCAAGGUGCAUUAAAUCAUUGCAUGCAAGUAUUAAGAGAAAAUUGACCAAUGCAUGUACUUUAUGCAUGCAUGCAUUGCAAUUAAUGCAUUGAUAAACAUAAUUUGUUGAGAAAAACAAGAGCAUUAAUUAGGUGCUUUUGUAAACUACAAAAAAUAUUCCACCACUCACCAUAAACCGGAAAGGAGGGAGUACUGAUGUGUACGUGCAAUAACUGGCACCGUCGUAUACAUAUCUUAUGGUUAAUGGGGCGUUCUACAGGAAUAGCCGCGUGGCGAGCUCUAGGCUAGUCCUUUUUUCAGACGCGUUAAAUCUAUCUCUCGGGACUUCUCGCACGCACCAUCCUGCCACCCACAAAAACUUGUACUCUGAGUUUAUUAGUACUACUACGUUAUACAGGAAGAGAAGAGGUGCACGCACGCACUCGUCCUCUCACAAACGUGUCUGUUUUUUCUUGAAAAGGAGGAUGAUGACCCCCGACCUCUGCAUCUGGGAGUCACACACGCAUUUUUAGCUACGAAUUGUAGUGUUCUCAACCAUCGGAUUGGCUCUAUCAUGGAUGUACCUAUAUACUAAAACAUGUCUAGAUACAUCUAUAUUUUGACAAGUGGAAGGCAUGUAUUGUGGAACGGAGGGAGUGCUUGUCCGCGCAGCCCAGGUGCCCUCCCUUGCACUGCAGAAAUCAAUCCAACAUCACAUCAAUCAAGAAACCUGCACCUUGCUCAAUCAGCUGAGGUGUAUUCGAACCUCAUACACUGGAGGCGUCAAGGGGCGGAGGCACAAGGGGCAGUGGAGCAUGGUGAGGUCCAUCGAGACCUUAGAGAGCUCCAUCGCCGGGUCCUGUUCCUGUUCGGUCUGCAUGAUCUCGCCCUCCUCGUGCACAACCAUCUCUCGACUUGGGUCGGGGUAUUACAAAGCUUACCGUCACAUAUUUUAUACUCCCUUCAUUCCUAAAUGUACUCCCUCCGUUCGGAAUUACUUGUCUCGGAAAUGGAUGGAAUCCCUACAAAGACUUAUAAUUUAGGAACGAAGGGAGUACUACUUCAAGGUGCAUUAAAUCAACACAUGCAAGUACUAUCAAAAGAAGAGUCACGACAUGCAUGCAUGUGUUGUAAUUAAUGCAUCGGUAAACGCAAAUUAUUGAAAUAUAUCGAGUGCACUGCUUUGAUGUGUCGUGUCAACUCAUACAUCAACGAGAAGUUUGAUUAUCCUCUCCCUCGCGGACUUAACUGCACCUGCCUUUGGCUGUAUGACAGGUUGGCCACACACCUGUCGAGCCCACCUAUCAUACACGCAAAGACAAGAGCGUCCCUCCCUCGCCCAUGAGCGUGGUGGCUGGUAAGACUAGGAGAAGCUUUCGCUACACGCUCUCCCUCCCGCACGCGGUGCACAUGCAGCAGUUCAAUCGGUGUCAGAUGGCCAGAAGCGUACUAUAGUACUCUUCCAGUGCAGUAGUACACCAUCAUUGUUCGACUUCCCGAAGAGGCGAAGAGGCAAGCGCAGCCCGGACGCUCGUGUGGCAGUUUCAUGUGUAGAGUAGUCUAGAUAGCGUGUAUCGUGCCUAUAAGCUUAAAAUCGGGGUCGGCUCCAUGUUAUGUGGCCGUCUCGAAGUUUUUUUUAAAUUAAAAUAGUCUGCUGGCCCUACCUGUCACCCUGGUGAUUGUAGUUUGCACGCUCAUCUGGUCAAGACAGGAAUAUAUAUUUUAAUUUGUUUUUUUUCGAAAAGGGGGAACUCCCCGGCCUCUGCAUCAGAAUGAUGCAUAGGGCCACAUAUAUUUUAAUUUGUGGUGGGUAAAUGUUAGAGGUUGCAGCAAAUAUAUUGUACACUGCGGGUCUUUCAGCCAAGUUUAGAGGCAAGCAUGUGGGGCCAGUGCUAUGAUGUGUCGCGUCAACUCGUAGAACGUGGAGAAGCUUGAUUUUACUACACGCCUUCUCCCUCGCCCAUGCGCGCGGUUGCUCUUAAACAAGGACAGGCUUUUGCUUAGUAGUAGUACUUCUACAACAAGCUAUCUGUCCCACUCGCGGUGGACGGACAUGCAACAGUGGAUUCAACAAUGUAGAAGCAGUAGUAGUAACAUCAUUGUUUGUCUUCUCGAAGAGGCGAAGAGCCAAGCGCAAACCGAACGUUGCAGUUGCAAACAUUGGUGCACGCAUAUAGCCAGGCUCUUGCAUGAGAAAAAAUUGCUAUGUGAGCCCACUAUUGUACUAGUACGUACAACUACUUGCUAGUAUAGCCCUAUAAACCAGAAAGGAGUAUUUGCCCUUCUAGAGAUUUCAACAAGUGACUAGACUACACCGAGACGGAGUACAUAUGGAGCAAAAUGAGUGGAUCUGCACCGUAAAUAAAUACGUACUAGUUCUAUCAUUUUCCUCUCCAAGGUGCACAAUAUUGACUAUACUGACUAGUCUCUUUUUGACACGCAUUUACGUUUUUUUUGACACAGUACAGACGCAAGCGCUCAUAUACACGCGCAUACACUCACCCCUAUGAACGCACACACGCACGACACUAUCAUCUUGAAAUUUAUGAAGUCACCAUAGGCACCUCGUCAUCGAAGGGUCCAUAGGUGCUUGAAUGCCAAGGAGGAAGAGGGUAGCGGUUCCCGAGACGUUGAACGGUCAAUGAUGCAUCCUCAAUUACAUGCAGAGGGAAUUAAUUGGAGAAGCAGACUAGAUCCAGCACGAUGUGAAUGCAACAGAGUUUGGACUCUCAUAUAAUAAAGGCGCCCCACCACUCUAAUCCAUCUACUCCCAAGUCUCUGCGCAACACUGCCCACUCCAAUCCAAGACCAAGUGACCAGAAGCCACAAGCACCUAUGGAGGCGAUGGACGCGAGCGGCAGUCUGCUGUGCCAAAUCAUCCAAGGCGCCGGCCUGCGGCCCGCACCGCGCAGCGUUUCCAGACAGUGCUGGCGACCGCAGGCAUCAUAGCCCUCGCCAACACCGGCUUCGCCUCUCGCAUGGUUGACAUGAUGGUCAACUCCAUCCGCAAGUUCACCACCAUCAAGAAGCGCGCGGACGACCAUGCCGUACUGCUCCAGCCCGCGCGCCCAGGCUCCUCAUUGCCUGCCACCCUCAUCGGCCUACAUGGUGACGAACUCUUUCAAGCCCUGGUGGCCCUGCAGGUGCCGGAGGUCGCGAUGAGGAAUGUGCACCUCGACGCCGCGCUCGCCGCGCAGCGCCUCGCCAUGCAAGAAACCGUCGACAUGCACAUCCACGUCUACGAGGAAAUUGUCUACAUAGGCCACUACAAGGCAAGCGAGGACAGAAAGACGUUGGCCUUCUUCCAGUGGCUGUAAUCUUUGGAUGCCAUUGUUCAGAAGCUCGUCGACUUGGCCACAAAAGCCGCUGCUACUUAGGCACCAUUCGGUGGGCCGGCGCCCUGAGUCGAGGAGGUGGACGUCGUCAAUGGAUGCAUCUCUUCUUCUUGCCUCCUGUAAUCAGCACUGCAUCGCCUCGUGGCCUUAAUGUUUUAUUAGUAUAGUACUCCCUCCGUUCCCAAAUAUAAGUCUUUCUAAAGAUUCCAGCAAGUGACUACUACAUACAGAGCAGAAUGAGUGAAUAUACACUCUAAACUAUGUCUUUAUACAUCUGUAUGCUGUAUUCCAUUUGAACUAUAUCUAAAAAGGCUUAUGUUUAUGAACGGAGGGAGUAUAUGGCAUUUUUUAUUCCAGUCGUAACGUUUUCACUGUGAGGUGGGGCCGCAGUUGAGCAAACCCACACCACCCACCGGGCGUCGGCCGAGUUUAGAGUUAGAAGAGAGAAACGAGGGAGGAGAGCUAGCUGUAGCACGGACACUGUUGUCAGAUGGGACUCGUGUUUAUAGAAUAGGAGUACUGAGCACUCGUGCCUCUUUUUUCUUGAGGGAAAAAUUAGUCGUAUGUCUAGUACCACUACUUGGGUGCGUGCGACCUAUAGUUGUCAUCACUUUAGGUCUACUUUUUGAACCGCGGCUACGCUUCAUAGUACAUAUUUUAUCACGCCUUUAUCCUCCUAUAUGUACUCCAAGGCUAUUUCCAUGUGCUCCCAUUCGCCGACAUGUGGGACAUAGAGCAUCUGGGUCGUAGUGCAUGCAUGACUCAGAGCAUAUGCCGGGGUACUUUACAUUUCAGACCUCAUGAAUUACAUGCAAACCCCCCGCAAAAUAAUAAAUAAAUCAAUGAAUUACUACAUGAAACUGGAUUAUUUUCAUGGAAGUCGGAGCACAUUCAUUAAAUUUUGGACAUAACACGUUUAUAAAAUAUGACCGGACCUAACCCAGUCUAAAGGCCUCUUUGAUUUUUCCUAAAAAAAAGGGCCUCUUUGAUUCACAGGAUACUGAAAACACAGGAAUGGGGAAAGUAUGAUGGCGAUGAACCGAGACGAGGAGAACUCUAACUCAGUUAGAGGUUAGAGUUAGAUUCUAACCCUGAACUAACUCUAAACCAAAGAGGUGUAUGGAUGGCAGGGUUAGAUUGACAAUAAAUGCUCUAUCUCAAUCAUUUGACUACUUUGGACCCUAUUUUUAGUCAGACUAAAAUAAGUCCCUUGGAUCCAAGCACCCUCUUGGUGUGGUCGGCUCUUCUGUGGCCUCCUCCCGCUAACAAUUCACAUAAAUGAACCAUCUAUACAAAUCAAGCAUGCAAAACAUGAUAAUUUUUACUUUGUCCAUACAAAUGUGAUAUCCCACUUAAACAUACAAGUCGUCAAUCAAGCUUCACAAAAAAAACACUUCAUGAAACAAAGAAUGAGAUAACUCAUCACAAAAGUCGUUCACGAUACGGAGGGAGCUCGGAGCCCCUCACGCACCGAGGGAGGAGCUCGCCAUCGUCGCUCUGGAGGAAGGCUCUGUAGAGCCCAAGCCCCGGGAACCCCUCCGACUCCAGCCCUUGCGAGUUGAGGUCGACACCGGCAUGGGUAGCAGGGCAGCUUGCCGCCGACUGGGAACUUAAUCUUUGGGCCUCUAGAAAUAAUGCAAGCCUGUAACUAAAAUACCUAGAAAGGUGAACUGAAUAUUUGGGCCUCUAGAAAUAAUGCAAGCCCGAAACUGAAAUACCUAGAAAGGUGAACUGAAUCUUUGGGCCUCUAGAAAUAAUGCAAGGCAGAAACUUAAAUACCUAGAAAGGUGAACUGAAUCUUUGGGCCUCUAGAAAUAAUGCAAGCCUGAAACUGAAGUACCUAGAAAGGUGAACUGAAUCUUUGGGNNNNNNNNNNNNNNNNNNNNNNNNNNNNNNNNNNNNNNNNNNNNNNNNNNNNNNNNNNNNNNNNNNNNNNNNNNNNNNNNNNNNNNNNNNNNNNNNNNNNNNNNNNNNNNNNNNNNNNNNNNNNNNNNNNNNNNNNNNNNNNNNNNNNNNNNNNNNNNNNNNNNNNNNNNNNNNNNNNNNNNNNNNNNNNNNNNNNNNNNNNNNNNNNNNNNNNNNNNNNNNNNNNNNNNNNNNNNNNNNNNNNNNNNNNNNNNNNNNNNNNNNNNNNNNNNNNNNNNNNNNNNNNNNNNNNNNNNNNAUCUUUGGGCCUCUAGAAAUAAUGCAAGCCUGAAACUGAAAUACCUAGAAAGGUGAACUGAAUCUUUGGGCCUCUAGAAAUAAUGCAAGCCUGAAACUCAAAUACCUAGAAAGGUGAACUGAUUCUUUGGGCCUCUAGAAACAAUACAAGCCUGAAAUUGAAAUACCAAGAAAGGUGAACUGAAUCUUUGGGCCUCUACAAAUAAUGCAAGCCUGAAAUUGAAAUACCUAGAAAGGUGACCUGAAUCGUUGUGCCUCUAGAAAGAUUUAUUACCUCCUCAAGCAGCAUCAAACAAUUCCAUGCGUGCACCACAAAUCUAUAGCAAGUUUGAUCAGGAUCUACUUUUCCAAAUCAGAAUUAGUGCUAGAGGAAGCAAGAUCAAUGAUAUGGUCGUGAGACAAAGAAGGAACGAACAAACUCACCCCUCUCACGACCUCCCUGGUAGAUGCGCCACUGCCGCGCACGACAGAGGGAGAAAAAUGACUGGUGAAGGGGGAGCGGGGCGACCUUCGAAGGCCGGAGGGAGAGGGCGGCCGGAGUAGGGCGACGGAGGCCAGAAGGAGAGGGCGGCCAGAGGAGAGAGAGGGCGAGCAGCGCUUGGGCGGGCGGCCCUAUGGGGAACAGAGAGGAGUCGUGUAAGAGGGGGGAAGCGAUCUGGUGCGGGCAGGUGAGAUUUUUUAGGGGAGCGAUCUGGUGUAGGCAGGUGAGAUUUUUUAGUUCUCUUUUAGUGGGCCUGAGGAUAACUAACCCAAUUAGAACCUCUCCACCGGGCUAGUUUUUUUUAGCUAGGUUAGAGCAAACUAGUUCAAACUAACCCCUCUUGUUUUGAUAAUUUUAGGCUAUUUCAACCCAAACUAGCUCUAACUCAGGGAUCCAAACAAAGAGGAGUGUUACUGUACAUGCUACAGUGUGGACCGUAGUACAUUGUUUUUUAUGGCCAUAUCACCACAUUGUUUUCUACUGCUGGUUCACUGGGCUACCGUGGUUCGCACGGCUGGUUCACUGGGCUGCCGUGGUUCGCACUCCUCCGACCUGAGUAGUACUCCCUCCGUUCCUAAAUAUAAGUCUUCGUAGAUAUUUCACUGUGGACCACAUACGGAUGUAUAUAGAUGCAUUUUAUGUGUAGAUUCAAUCAUUUUUCUCCCUAUGUGGUCCAUAGUGAAAUCUCUCCAAAGACUUAUAUUUAGGAAUGGAGGGAGUAGUAUAGUACUAGUAUAUACCGCAUCAUUCUUUGCUCCUUUUUACUACUCCGACAUGUGGGAGAGCCAGCAUCUAGGUCGACGUGUCAUGCACCAGAUUAGAGCGCGAACAGAAGGGGGGCAUCACCCCGGUCGGAGCGCCAGUAAUUCAUGACUAUAGUGAGUGGUCAUAUCACAAGUCUUUCCAGCAGUAACGCGCCGUCAAAUCACACAGUCCCACUCGCUCACCCUCCUCGCCUCUCUGUCAAACCGCCUACCCGAAAUCUGUCGCGCGUACUGCCCGGGAAAAGCCCCGCCAUCAACUUUUAACUACGCGAAAAUAGUUCAAGUUUGUUCGUUCUAUAAAAAUACAGUACUUACUGUAUGUUUAUUCACCCGUGGGGUUGUUCAAUGAAUGGUGGGGCGGGGAGCACAAGUGAACAAUACUACCUCUGUCCGGGUUUAUUGGUCCCCAUUGUAUUUCAUGCCAAAUUUUGACCAUAGAUUAAACUAAGAAAAUAUUCACGCAUGUCACCAAACAUUAUAUUUUUCAAAACUAUGUUCAAAUACGAAUCCAAUGAGAUAAUUUUCCUUGACAUGCAUUAAUAUUUUGUUAGUUAAAUCUUUAGUCAAAAUUUGGCACAAACUAUAAAAGGGACCUAUAAAUCAGGACGGAGGUAGUACUGUAGUAGUAAGUAGGAGUCGUAGAGUAGUCACCUUAAAUAGAGAGUUUAUUUUCU